AUGAGUAUCUAGCUAGACGGCCAACGACGUGUUGCUGGCGACGGGAGAUAAGAUAUUCCAGAUCCGAUCUACUUCUAAAAUGUAUUCAACCAUCGUUACUUCGGCAUCAUCAACAAUCCUAGUAAUGUCUAAUUUAUGCUCUGUUUACUACUUACAUCUGUAAAUGAAGCAUCCUCUAGCUGUCGAAGAGUCAGUUACGAUAUUUAUUGUUUGCUUGCUUUCUCUCGUGACAAUAGACAUCUAACAGAGUUGCCCAGGGUUGUCAAGCGAAUUAAUGAACGGGUCAUGACAUUUGUGGUCUGAUCGCUUCAAAUUGCCGUACGAAAUGAUGCAGAUGCAAUUAAUUAAGCGGUCUAACUUUCGUUAUACACUUGCCGGAAACAAAUAAAAUGAGGUCAAUCAAUUUCUCUAAACUUAUUUGUUUAUAGGCGGAUCUAAAGAAAGGUUAAUUCAACGCCCACGCGGUACCCGCAACACCACAGCAAAUAA